CCUGACGCAGCGACGCCGCGUGGAGGAUGACGCAUUUCGGUGUGUAAACUCCUUUUAUCAAGGAAGAAAAUGACGGUACUUGAUGAAUAAGCACCGGCUAACUCCGUGCCAGCAGCCGCGGUAAUACGGAGGGUGCAAGCGUUAUUCGGAAUCACUGGGCGUAAAGGACGCGUAGGCGGGAUGCCAAGUCUGAUGUGAAAUCCUAUGGCUUAACCAUAGAACUGCAUUGGAAACUGGUGACCUAGAGUAUGGGAGGGGGAGAUGGAAUUAGUGGUGUAGGGGUAAAAUCCGUAGAUAUCACUAGGAAUACCCAAAGCGAAGGCGAUCUCCUGGAACAAUACUGACGCUAAGGCGUGAAAGCGUGGGGAGCAAACGGGAUUAGAUACCCCGGUAGUCCACGCCCUAAACGAUGUUCACUAGUCGUCGGAAUGCUAGUCAUUUCGGUGAUGCACUUAACAGAUUAAGUGAACCGCCUGGGGAGUACGGUCGCAAGAUUAAAACUCAAAGGAAUUGACGG
rnacentral:rRNA from 1 species